rnacentral:rRNA from 1 species
CACGUAUGGGGCAAGCGUUGUUCGGAAUCACUGGGCGUAAAGGGCGUGUAGGCGGUUCGAAAAGCCUGGCGUGAAAGGUAUCGGCUUAACCGGUAGACGGCGCUGGGAACUGUCGGGCUGGAGUCACGGAGGGGGAGCUGGAAUUCCAGGUGUAGGGGUGAAAUCUGUAGAGAUCUGGAAGAACACCGGUGGCGAAGGCGAGCUUCUGGCCGAUGACUGACGCUGAGGCGCGAAAGCGUGGGGAGCAAAC